rnacentral:rRNA from 1 species
GACGUAGGGCGCGAGCGUUGUCCGGAUUUAUUGGGCGUAAAGAGCUCGUAGGCGGCUUGUUGCGUCGGCUGUGAAAACCGUGGCUUAACUGCGGGCUUGCAGCUGAUACGGGCGGGCUAGAGUUCGGUAGGGGAGACUGGAAUUCCUGGUGUAGCGGUGAAAUGCGCAGAUAUCAGGAGGAACACCGGUGGCGAAGGCGGGUCUCUGGGCCGAUACUGACGCUGAGGAGCGAAAGCGUGGGGGAGCGAACAGG